rnacentral:rRNA from 1 species
UGGGGAAUAUUGGACAAUGGGCGAAAGCCUGAUCCAGCCAUGCCGCGUGUGUGAAGAAGGUCUUCGGAUUGUAAAGCACUUUAAGUUGGGAGGAAGGGUUGUAGAUUAAUACUCUGCAAUUUUGACGUUACCGACAGAAUAAGCACCGGCUAACUCUGUGCCAGCAGCCGCGGUAAUACAGAGGGUGCAAGCGUUAAUCGGAAUUACUGGGCGUAAAGCGCGCGUAGGUGGUUUGUUAAGUUGGAUGUGAAAGCCCCGGGCUCAACCUGGGAACUGCAUCCAAAACUGGCAAGCUAGAGUACAGUAGAGGGUGGUGGAAUUUCCUGUGUAGCGGUGAAAUGCGUAGAUAUAGGAAGGAACACCAGUGGCGAAGGCGACCACCUGGACUGAUACUGACACUGAGGUGCGAAAGCGUGGGGAGCAAACA